AUUUUGAUGGCGACCGGCGGACGGGUGCGUAACAGGUAUGUAACCUACCUUUUUCUAGAAAAUAGCCUGAGGAAACUCGGAUUAAUAUUCUAUAAUAUAGUAUUUUCGCAUGAAAAUAUUAUUAAAGCAGAAAUGCGGAAAAAGAUGGGCAUGCGCCCGAUUAGUUAGUUGGUGGGGUAAAGGCCUACCAAGACGAUGAUCGGUAGGGGGCCUGAGAGGGUGAUCCCCCACACUGGUACUGAGAUACGGACCAGACUCCUACGGGAGGCAGCAGUGAGGAAUAUUGGUCAAUGGAGGAAACUCUGAACCAGCCACGCCGCGUGCAGGAAGAAUGCCUUAUGGGUUGUAAACUGCUUUUGUUUAGGAAUAAAAAUUUCUACGUGAUAGAAAUUGUGAAGGUACUAAACGAAUAAGUGUCGGCAAACUCCGUGCCAGCAGCCGCGGUAAUACGGAGGACACAAGCGUUAUCCGGAUUUAUUGGGUUUAAAGAGUGCGUAGGCGGUUUAUUAAGUCAGUAGUGAAAUGUUACAGCUUAACUGUUAAAAUGGCUAAUGAUACUGAUAGACUUGAGUGAGAUUGGAGUAACUGGAAUGUGUGGUGUAGCGGUGAAAUGCAUAGAGAUCACACAGAACACCGAUCGCGAAAGCAGGUUACUAAAUCUAUACUGACGCUGAGGCACGAAAGCGUGGGGAGCAAACAGGAUUAGAUACCCUGGUAGUCCACGCCGUAAACGAUGAUCACUAGUCGUUGGAUUUUAUUAUUCAGUGGCUAAGCGAAAGUGAUAAGUGAUCCACCUGGGGAGUACGAUCGCAAGGUUGAAACUCAAAGGAAUUGACGGGGGCCCGCACAAGCGGUGGAGCAUGUGGUUUAAUUCGAUGAUACGCGAGGAACCUUACCAAGGUUUAAAUGUACUACGAAUAAGCUAGAAAUAGUUUAGUCUUCGGACGGAGUACAAGAUGCUGCAUGGUUGUCGUCAGCUCGUGCCGUGAGGUGUUGGGUUAAGUCCCUCAACGAGCGCAACCCUCAUUGUUAGUUGCCAACGAAUAAUGUCGGGGACUCUAACAAGACUGCCGACGUAAGUCGAGAGGAAGGUGGGGACGACGUCAAAUCAUCACGGCUCUUAUAUCUUGGGCUACACACGUGCUACAAUGGUCGGUACAAAGGGUUGCUA
rnacentral:rRNA from 1 species